CGCGUAGGCGGGAUGGCAAGUCGGUCGUGAAAUCCUUCGGCUCAACCGAAGAACGUCGGCCGAUACCGCCGUUCUUGAGGGAUGCAGAGGAGACUGGAAUUCCCGGUGUAGCGGUGAAAUGUGUAGAGAUCGGGAGGAACACCGGUGGCGAAGGCGGGUCUCUGGGCAUCUCCUGACGCUGAGGCGCGAAAGCGUGGGGAGCAAACGGGAUUAGAUACCCCGGUAGUCCACGCCAUAAACGAUGACGACUAGGUGUGGGGUGGUUCAGUCCACUCCGUGCCGCAGCUAACGCAUUAAGUCGUCCGCCUGGGGAGUACGGCCGCAAGGUUGAA
rnacentral:rRNA from 1 species